UUCUUAGCUUGCUCAUUUCAUCUCUCCUUCUAAAACACAAUUAGUUUUUUUUUAUUUCUUCUUAAUUAUGAUUAAGGAUGGUAGUUUAAAAAAAAGAAGAGGGUGGUGGGAAUUUUCGUAGCUCGUGAAUUCAAGAACGAAGGAUCUAUAUAUAUUGUACAUUGUACGGAGUAGCAUUAUUUUUUAUGUUAAUUAUUUUUAUUUUACAAAAUAUGGUACAUGGAAUAGUAGUUAAUUUGUAAUCCCCAUCGUAAUGAAUGAAACAAACGGUCAAUUAUUGAAAUACGGAGUAUUUAAUUUGCAACAAUUGAAUAUUUUAUUUU